rnacentral:lncRNA from 1 species
CAGAACUUCCACGGCCGAGGUCAGCGGCACAGCUCUGACAUUCAAGAUCGGAUCGGCCUCUGAUGACCCACGAAUAAGAGGCGGCUCUCACCUCCUAUUCCCCGCGGGACGGGGUCCCCCCAGAGAGCCGCA